rnacentral:tRNA from 1 species
GCCGCUGUGGUGAAAUGGUAUACACGCAGCACUCAAAAUGCUGUGAGAGCAAUCUCAUGUCGGUUCAAGUCCUACCAGCGGCACAA